rnacentral:rRNA from 1 species
GACGAACGCUGGCGGCGUGCUUAACACAUGCAAGUCGAACGGAAAGGCCCUGCUUUUGUGGGGUGCUCGAGUGGCGAACGGGUGAGUAACACGUGAGUAACCUGCCCUUGACUUUGGGAUAACUUCAGGAAACUGGGGCUAAUACCGGAUAGGAGCUCCUGUUGCAUGGUGGGGGUUGGAAAGUUUCGGCGGUUGGGGAUGGACUCGCGGCUUAUCAGCUUGUUGGUGGGGUAGUGGCUUACCAAGGCUUUGACGGGUAGCCGGCCUGAGAGGGUGACCGGCCACAUUGGGACUGAGAUACGGCACAGACUCCUACGGGAGGCAGCAGUGGGGAAUAUUGCACAAUGGGCGGAAGCCUGAUGCAGCAACGCCGCGUGCGGGAUGACGGCCUUCGGGUUGUAAACCGCUUUCGCCUGUGACGAAGCGUGAGUGACGGUAGUGGGUAAAGAAGCACCGGCUAACUACGUG